GGCCUACGGGUGGCUGCAGUGGGGAAUAUUGGACAAUGGGGGGAACCCUGAUCCAGCCAUGCCGCGUGUGUGAAGAAGGCCUUAUGGUUGUAAAGCACUUUAAGCGAGGAGGAGGCUACUAGUAUUAAUACUACUGGAUAGUGGACGUUACUCGCAGAAUAAGCACCGGCUAACUCUGUGCCAGCAGCCGCGGUAAUACAGAGGGUGCGAGCGUUAAUCGGAUUUACUGGGCGUAAAGCGUGCGUAGGCGGCCAUUUAAGUCAAAUGUGAAAUCCCCGAGCUUAACUUGGGAAUUGCAUUCGAUACUGGAUGGCUAGAGUAUGGGAGAGGAUGGUAGAAUUCCAGGUGUAGCGGUGAAAUGCGUAGAGAUCUGGAGGAAUACCGAUGGCGAAGGCAGCCAUCUGGCCUAAUACUGACGCUGAGGUACGAAAGCAUGGGGAGCAAACAGGAUUAGAUACCCUGGUAGUC
rnacentral:rRNA from 1 species